rnacentral:lncRNA from 1 species
CUUGGUACCCUAUUUAUCAUAUACCAAUGGGAAGAACCAUUAAAGACUUGUCCACUUGUUUCCUCACUUACCACACUCUUUCUCUUCUUUCCAAGGUAUGCACACACUCUCUUUAGUAAUCCAAGGGUCGGAUUUUAGAUUUUGGGGGGUUUGAAACAUUUCUUAAGAACUUUCGUUAAAAAAAAAAAAUUCAAAAUUUCGGGGUCCAAGGCGAAUGUUUCAGUGGUCUAUGUCCAGAUCCGGCCCUGCAUUUAAUUCAAAUCACAAUAGGGGGGUUUAAUGCUUAGCAAUGAUACUGCAGAUAUGGAGCCGGAAGAGAACGGAGGGGAGAAAGAGAGGAUGAGAAAGGAAGGGGAAGACAUAACUCUCCUCCCAUUUGGGAUGGCUACUUACAAGAUGCAAGGCGAUGUCUGGCUUUCGCACGACCACGAUGACCAGGAGAGAUUGGCUUCGCUUUGUAGCGUUGCGGAUUCGUGGCUAAAACAGCUUAGGGUCCAACAUCAUGACUUCAACUACUUCUGCACCAUGUCGAUGACUAGUCCU